UGUGCAACAGGCCCAAGCCCAGCCCGGGCUCGUGACAGGCAAAAACAAUCCAACCUGAGCCCGGCCUGUAAUGUUUAUGUUGGGCCCGAGCCUGAGGGUUGGUCUGGUGUGUGUGUGAUAUGAUGAAGAUGUGGAGAUGGGUGAAUGAAAUCACCGCUUUCUUGGGCAAACAACUCCAAUGUACUUCUCCAUUCUCCUUUAAUAUACUCGGAUACCAAUGUCUUACCUUGCAAUCCAUAAACUCUUAUGCAAUCCCACUUUAGAGCAACAUGGAGCUCAUCCCAUCAGAGAGAGAAAGUGCUAGGAGGAGAGAGUUCUUGCUUUGGG